ensembl:lncRNA
AGCAAGAUAAGACAGAGAGAAGACAGAUAGCCAUGGUGUCCGCUGUGGCUGCAGUCCCUGGUGAGGACAGCUCCAAGCUAUCUCCUUGUUUCAGUUUCAUUGCAUUCACAGAAUCACUGGGGAACUAAAGAGGCAACAAAGGUGAGUGAUGGGUUUUAAGCCAGGUGAGGCAUUUGUCUCUGCACAGGAAAAAUCUAAUCUUGCCAAUACUUCAGACGGUGGAUUUGUGUAUCGCUAAACUAUAACUUUUGUUACUGUGUUGAAUUAUUUAAAAAGCAAAGGAUCAACUGGAGGAAUCAAAUUGCCCGAGAAGCAAACUUUGUGAUGGGAUUUCAGUUGAUCUCAACACAAAGACGUUUGGGCGUAGGAGGUGAGGGAGAAGUAAGACUACCGUAGAGCUCCGGGUGUGGGGAGCGAGCGAGGGGUCGCCUUUCCCCUCUGAGGCAUACAGAUGGCGGGGCGGGCCCGCGGAGGACUUGGCGUCGCGCCGCUGACGACUAAACAGCCCAUUCGGCUCAGACGCGCGGUGACGUGCUCAGGAUUUCAACAGCCGCCUGAAACGCUGGAUCCUCGAAGCGGGGCAGGCCCGGUCUCGCCCAGGCUCAGACUUAAACUCUAGAAAAGGGGGAGAGGCCAACACUCAACACUGAAUCCCUGCUGCACUCACAAACCCUCCCCCCCCCGGAGGCAUCGAGACGCCCCACUCGCCUGCUCGGGGGUUCCACCCAGCAUCCAGUUUCAGAUUUAAAAUCUUUAAAACUAAAUAGACUAAACCUAAAGCUUUACUAGAUAGAAACUGUAACAAGUAAGAAUCCCAAUCGAAUGUGAACAAAGGCUGUGUUGUGUGUAUUUGUGUUCUAUAUUUCAGAGCCUUUCUGCAAGGAAAAUCCCAUGUGUUCUGUCCUUCAUUCCACCGGAGUCUGUCUGUUUCACACCAGAUUUCAGUGGUGUGAAGUGUAAGAGACAUGGGGAUACUGCUUCUCAAGCUUGUUCCCCUUGAUUCAAUUAUUCAUCUUUUUGACAAAUGAUACUGUUGUGAUGUAUGGUACUAUAUAUUCUAAUGGAUUUUCCCUGCUAUUUUGUACAAGAUAUAUUUUGCAUGUAUUUCCAUUAAUAAGACAUUGUACUGCGCAACUCACUAAUAUGAAUAAAUAUCUUGACCUUUUGUCCAGUUCUUUAUUUCAACAUCUCAAAUAAUUACGGAGCCAUUAUACCACCCACACGCCGUGGCUGACAUUAGCAAAGAUGUAGAUUUUCAGACUCAGCCCACACAAACAACCUUUACUGUUUGGCAAAUUAAGCUUAUUAAAAAUGUAAAACACGCCCACAGUGUAGCCAACACAAUAAUGCUAUUUAACGUGUUUCUCCCAGCUAGAGAGAGAACUGCAGCAGCACACAUCAAAAUGUGAGAGAGAAAAACAUAUUCACCUCAUAUAUAACAUAUAACCUUCUUAGUUAAAUGUUAGAAGAUGUGAGAUGUGAUAGUGUGAUAGCAAAAGAGGUUUUCCAUUAUAUAUUGUGGCGCAUAGGUAACAGGAAUGAACGUUACAACGUGAAUAGCUGUAUUAUCACAAACAAUUCUCAAAAUAUGUAUAAUAAUGAUUUGCAAUACAUGUCAUCUUAUAUCUAUAUUUGUCUACAUAUAUAUUCAUUGCAAUAUCACACUACUAAAACCGUUAAUGUGAUUAAAAAUGCUGCUUUUUCCUAUAAUUGUAGAUUGAAUAUCUAUACUAAAAAAGUGGUUUGAAACUCAUUUACGGGUUUUUGUUAUAAUUGACAUGCAAUAUUUGACUAAUCAAAGAUUUUCUGAUGCUAUCAUUUACAAAUUGUGUUCCUUAAUUCAAAACACAACGACAUGUAUCUAUCCCGCAUGGUGAUUGGCUGAUUCAGCGAAUCAAAGAAUAAUACUUUGUACUAUUCAAAACAUUCUAGAACUUGUAUUUCAAAGUUUUAAAAAUAAACCUCAUAUACUUUGGGCAGCACGUAUUGAGUCUACACUUCUUCAGCGGACAUGAAAGUUUGGAGUUUAUUUUUCCUCGUCUUUCUGCUUCUGAGUCCAACCCUCGGAGAGGACACAGGUGAGCGAACGUUCCCACCGAAAAUAUCAGCUGAAGAAACUGACAGCGAGACCGAAGCUGCUGAUAACUCGGUUCCCGUUUUGUAAAAUGUUGAUUAUUCAGUUUCUAUUCAAAGCAGGGGAGGUGGCAAAUAUGACAGUUUCAUGGCAAACAAGCCACACUUGCUAAUUGAAAGCACGAGCAUGCAGCAGAAAUGUUGUUGGGUGUCUCAGCGUUACGCUUCAUUAACUGGAAUCCGCAUGCAUGUCAAGCGAAAGGUGGAGCACAAGCCUCGGUCCUAUUUCCAAAACCGGUGUUCUCCCUACAGUUUUUCCCAGCACUUAUUUUUAAUAAUCGGCGUCUUUCAUGGCUCUUCAGUUGCAGAUGACAUUGGUGCCCAUCAGCUGAAGCGCUUGGUGGAGUUGCUGACGUCCAAGGAGUGCGAGGACCUUCUGUCCGUCCUCUCCCGCCCCGAGGAAAACAUCUUUCAGCGCGUUGAGCGUCUCUCCCCGGAAACGAAUCAGCUAGAACCUCGAGCCUCGAAACCGCGAGCCAAGAGAGAAGCCUCAACCGCUGCAGGCGAUGAGGCUCGGUGCCGCGCGGGCCUGACGGACUGGAUGCUCAGGCACGGCGAGCAGACCUACUAUGACAGGCUCGCUCGCGCCUUGCAGCACAUCGGCAGAACUGAUGUGGCCGUUGAAGUGGGGAAGAACAUCAACCAGGACAAAGUCCUGAAGAUUAAACGCUACGUUGAAGAUUACCACGAAUAUGUGAAGUCUUUAAACAUCCCGCUGGAACAACCAGCCUCAGAUGACCGACAGCAUGACGCCCACACGGUCAGAAAAAGAAGAGUAAGGCACCUGACAUCCCGUGACCUGGAUCUGGUUGUGGAGCGGUCUCCUGUACCCGUGUACCAGAAGGGAAUUUCGGUUGUAGCUCUGCCCCUUUUGUGGGGCAUCCUGCUGGGCUUCGGAGGGACCUUGAUUUUUGGAACCUCUAUAGUUCUCGCCGUCGUGCACAUCUGGCAUGGAAACCAGCAGAUCCGUCAACCCAGGGACCUGCAGGACGUUUUCUGCAGGACUUGCAGAACAUGCAGGUCCUUGCAGGUGGUAGGCUGCGAUGUAAGCAGCUUAGAGGGUUUAAUGGAAUGAGGAAUACUUGAUGAACUGUUAAGUAAAGGAAAAAAAUACUUAUAUUUCUUUGUGAGGCGUCUCUUUCAUGCUUUCAUGGCUCUUGUUUUCCGACAAUGGAGCAAAAAACCUAAUAUCGAUUCCACCGCACAACUACUAAUUACGACAAACAAGACAAAUAAUUCCAUUUCAUAUGAAGUAAUUAUCCCUGCUGUGUAUUCCUACACUGCUAAGCAUUAUUGCCUUGCCAGUGGGUAGAUGACUAGUGUGACAGAUGCGCUGGAACCCGGCCCUCACACCAAAGGUUGUUCCGGUGUUACUGUGAUAGUGAUGCCACUUUCCAUUUCCCCUGCAAGUGACGGCAACGUGCCCGUCUGGCAUCGAAGAACAACUAAUUAUCCAGCCUGGCUUCUGCUUCCCCCGGAGCCUGCCGAUACCUCCGCAGGCAAUCCAAAAGACUAAUAACAAUGACAAUGCUCGCAGACAACAGAGCAGUCUUGGCGAUGUGAUGGCAGCUGCUGGCAGGUGACAGAAGCCAAGUAUAAAAAUAAAAAAACACAGGGCGAUGCUUUGUUGUUCAACAUGCGAAGAAGGGAGAUGAAAUAAGUUGAUGUGUGAAAUGCCGAAUGCGAGGUAGGUGACCUGGGACGAAAAACUCAAUAAAAGUUAAAGAGAUUAAAAUGAACUCUGUCAAUAUGUGUGGGCUUGAAUUGAGAAAAUGAGCCGCUCUUAUUUUCGUACGCUCUGCUGAGGAUGUUUCUUAAUAGCUCGACGGAAAACACACUCGUGGCACUGGGACACUUUCUGUUGUUCCCUGUUUCUUACGCUAUCCCUACUUUCUUCAUUGUAAUUAAACUAAUUACUUCAUUAUACAAAUCUGCCCUAAUGUGCUUCAGGAGGCAGACAGCUUGGAUUACCAGUGGCAC